rnacentral:sRNA from 1 species
ACACUGGUGCUGCGAAUGGGCUGUAAGAU